rnacentral:lncRNA from 1 species
AGUGAUUUCUUUAAGGCUAUAAUUCUGAUAAAUGAGUAUUAAUGUGAGAAAAACUGAUUUUAGAGUUUCAUAUUUGAAAAAAUGUUUGUAUAGGUUGCACUUUGUAAAUACAGCUGUUUCUCAAAACACGCCUCUUUUGGGGAGAUCUUGAAUAUUCAUAGAAAAUUUAUUUUGUUUACAUACUGGUUCUCAGUUAUGCUCUCUGUUUUCCAUCUCACAGAGACAUAACUUGGAAAUGUUACCAGUAAAUAUACAUGUGCAUAUUGUUUACAUUGAAAUAUGUGGUAACCUUUCAUUCGAGGUAGGG